AUUCCAGCUCCAAUAGCGUAUAUUAAAGUUGUUGCAGUUAAAAAGCUCGUAGUUGGAUUUGUGGAUGCUCACUUGGUCCUCUUGAGGCGCCAGUGUGGGGAUCCAUCCUUGGGUGGAUGCUGUGUGGCAUUCGGUUGUCGCGCAGGUGAUGCCCAUCGUUUACUGUGAAAAAAUCAGCGCGUUCAAAGCAGGCUUAUGCCGUUGAAUGUAUUAGCAUGGAAUAAUGAGAUAGGACCUCGGUACUAUUUUGUUGGUUUGCGCACUGGGGUAAUGAUUAAUAGGGACAGUUGGGGGUAUUCGUAUUGCAUUGUCAGAGGUGAAAUUCUUGGAUUUCUGCAAGACGAACUACUGCGAAAGCAUUUACCAAGGAUGUUUUC
rnacentral:rRNA from 2 species